AUUGAACGCUGGCGGCAGGCUUAACACAUGCAAGUCGAGCGAGCGGCGGACGGGUGAGUAAUGUCUGGGAAACUGCCUGAUGGAGGGGGAUAACUACUGGAAACGGUAGCUAAUACCGCAUACCAUCAGAUGUGCCCAGAUUGGAUUAGCUAGUAGGUGGGGUAAUGGCUCACCUAGGCGACGAUCCCUAGCUGGUCUGAGUGGGUGACCGGCCAGUCUGGAACCUGAACCCGGUCCAGACUCCAACGGGAGGCAGCAGUGGGGAAUAUUGCACAAUGGGCGCAAGCCGGAUGCAGCCAUGCCGCGUGUGUGAGGAAGGCCUUCGGGUUGUAAAGCACUUUCAGCGAGGAGGCGUUACUCGCAGAGGAAGCACCGGCUAACUCCGUGCCAGCCGCCGCGGUAAUAC
rnacentral:rRNA from 1 species